GAUGAACGCUGGCGGCGUGCCUAAUACAUGCAAGUCGAGCGAACGGACGAGAAGCUUGCUUUUCUGAUGUUAGCGGCGGACGGGUGAGUAACACGUGGAUAACCUACCUAUAAGACUGGGAUAACUUCGGGAACCGGAGCUAAUACCGGAUAAUAUUUUGAACCGCAUGGUUCAAAAGUGAAAGACGGUCUUGCUGUCACUUAUAGAUGGAUCCGCGCUGCAUUAGCUAGUUGGUAAGGUAACGGCUUACCAAGGCAACGAUGCAUAGCCGACCUGAGAGGGUGAUCGGCCACACUGGAACUGAGACACGGUCCAGACUCCUACGGGAGGCAGCAGUAGGGAAUCUUCCGCAAAGGGCGAAAGCCUGACGGAGCAACGCCGCGUGAGUGAUGAAGGUCUUCGGAUCGUAAAACUCUGUUAUUAGGGAAGAACAUAUGUGUAAGUAACUGUGCACAUCUUGACGGUACCUAAUCAGAAAGCCACGGCUAACUACGUG
rnacentral:rRNA from 1 species